rnacentral:rRNA from 1 species
GACGAACGCUGGCGGCGUGCUUAACACAUGCAAGUCGAACGGAAAGGCCUGCUUUCCCUUGUGGAUUUCGGGUACUCGAGUGGCGAACGGGUGAGUAACACGUGAGUGAUCUGCCCCCAACUUAGUUAUAAGCCUGGGAAACUGGAUCUAAUUCCCGUUAGAACUGCAGGGUGGUGCAUGUGGUGGCAAACGAUCUUCUAGUGGUUGAGGAUGAGCUCGCGGCCUAUCAGCUUGUUGGUGGGGUGAUGGACUACCAAGGCGGCGACGGGUAGCCGGCCGGGGAGGGUGGACGGCUACAUUGGGACUGGGAUCAGGCUCCGACGCCUAGCGGAGGCAGGAGUUGGGAAGAAUGCACAAUGAGCGGAACCCUGAUGCGGCGACGCAGCGUGGGAGAUGACGGGCUUGGGGUUGUAUACUCCUUUCGAACGCGAGGAGGGUACCUGGUUGGAAGGGUGGUGACGGUAGUGGUAGAAGAAGCCCCGGCUAACUACGUG